AUUGAACGCUGGCGGCAGGCCUAACACAUGCAAGUCGAGCGGAUGACGGGAGCUUGCUCCUGGAUUCAGCGGCGGACGGGUGAGUAAUGCCUAGGAAUCUGCCUGGUAGUGGGGGACAACGUUUCGAAAGGAACGCUAAUACCGCAUACGACCUACGGGAGAAAGCAGGGGACCUUCGGGCCUAGCGCUAUCAGAUGAGCCUAGGUCGGAUUAGCUUGUUGGUGUGGUAAUGGCUCACCAAGGCGACGGUCCGUAACUGGUCUGAGAGGAUGAUCAGUCACACUGGAACUGAGACACGGUCCAGACUCCUACGGGAGGCAGCAGUGGGGAAUAUUGGACAAUGGGCGAAAGCCUGAUCCAGCCAUGCCGCGUGUGUGAAGAAGGUCUUCGGAUUGUAAAGCACUUUAAGUUGGGAGGAAGGGUUGUAGAUUAAUACUCUGCAAUUUUGACGUUACCGACAGAAUAAGCACCGGCUAACUCUGUGCCAGCCGCCGCGGUAAGAC
rnacentral:rRNA from 1 species